UACGUAGGGGGCAAGCGUUAUCCGGAUUUACUGGGUGUAAAGGGAGCGUAGACGGCAGGGCAAGUCUGGAGUGAAAGGCAGGGGCCCAACCCCUGGACUGCUCUGGAAACUGUCCGGCUGGAGUGCAGGAGAGGUAAGUGGAAUUCCUAGUGUAGCGGUGAAAUGCGUAGAUAUUAGGAGGAACACCAGUGGCGAAGGCGGCUUACUGGACUGUAACUGACGUUGAGACUCGAAAGCGUGUGGAGCAAACAGG
rnacentral:rRNA from 1 species